rnacentral:rRNA from 1 species
UACGUAGGGGGCAAGCGUUGUCCGGAUUUAUUGGGCGUAAAGAGCGUGUAGGCGGUUAGGUAGGUCCGUUGUGAAAACUCGAGGCUCAACCUCGAGACGCCGAUGGAAACCAUCUGACUAGAGUCCGGAAGAGGAGGGUGGAAUUCCUGGUGUAGCGGUGAAAUGCGCAGAUAUCAGGAAGAACACCCGUGGCUAAGGCGGCUCUCUAGUACGUGACUGACGCUGAGACGCGAAAGCGUGGGGAGCGAACAGG